GGCUUACAUGGAAAGGGAGUUGACGGUCAAAUCCGGGCAACGUGCCCCGCUGUGCUGACGCCAACGUUCUUCUUGGUUUCCACGUGUCUGUUCUAAAAUCCCCUCAGCAAGACGGUGGAUUCUGAGCAGAGGCAGAAAGCAAAGGCCUCCUGCAGCCAGAGGGGAUCCGCACCCUUCCACCCAUGCCUCCUUGCAUCCCUCAUUUUCACUCUUUCCCCAGGGAGGAAAAACCGGGGCCACUGGAGGGAAUCUGGGCCUCUGUGCUUCUCACGGUCACCACACACCCGAGUGGCUGUCAGGCAGCAUAAUAUUUUAUUUUUAAAAUACCAUAGCUCGAGGCAUGAAGGCUCGGGUGCUUUUCUAUCUCCCCAUGUGGUCAGGCCUCUGGAAACCGUGUUAGGAUUUUAGUUGGGCGUGCAGACUCUUCAUGACCUGCUCCUAGCCCACCUACCUCACCAGCUCUGUGCCCUGUGAAACACACCCUCAAGCCAACCCCGAGAAACAGGCCCUCGCUUCCCAACAGCCUCCAGGUGAGCUGUCCUCCAGCCUCCUCCACCUCCAGGCUCAUGAUGGGGCAAAGCCCACUUAGGCAAAAGCCACCUGCUCUGUGAUGAUG
rnacentral:lncRNA from 1 species